rnacentral:tRNA from 1 species
UUAGCUCAGUUGGGAGAGCGUCUGCCUUACAAGCAGAGGGUCAGCGGUUCGAGCCCGUUAACCUCCACCA